rnacentral:rRNA from 1 species
UAAACUAGGAUUAGAUACCCUAUUAGUUACAUUUAAAAUUUAGUAGUAAGUGUUCGAACAUGAAACUAAAAUUAAUUGGCGGCUUUUUAAAUAUUUUAGAGGAAUUUAUUCUAUAAAGGAUUUAACACCAAAAUCUUACUUUUAUUUGUAUUAAAACAGUUUACAUACCUCUAUUUUAAAAUAUUUAAAUAUAUUUUAUUAAUACUAUUAUUUUAGUAAUUUUUUAGGUAAAGGUGUAGCUUAUAUAAAAGAAUGAAAUAAAUUAUAAUAAUUUUUAUUAUUUUAACGAGAUUUAAAUGUAAAUAAUAAUUUAGUAAAAUUUAAAAGUAAAAUUAGUAUAUUUAGCUAAUUUGAAUUAGAUUUUAUAAGUGUACAUAUUGCCCGUCACUCCUCUUUUAGAGAUAACUCCGUACCCUAACAAC